AAUAUUAAUGAAAUAAUCACUAUUUUUAAAGUUAGAAGCUUUAUAUUUUAUAUUUCUUUAAUUGGAAAUAAUAUUUC
rnacentral:tRNA from 1 species